CGGGGUUAUUCCAUUUCAUGGGCUAGUUAGUUUACUAAAACUUUUUCUGCUGUUAAGAUUUGCUCCGAUGGGAUAUGGGUAUUACUGUCCCUCCGACCUGAGAUCGCCACGGUGACUUGCAAGCAACUCACUGCACUUAAGCACUGGACUACCUGAAUUUCUAAUUCAGUGACGGAAGGCUGCUUGGUGUAGUCAAGUACUUGACUUGUCGGUGCAUGUGUCAAGAUGG
rnacentral:lncRNA from 1 species